rnacentral:sRNA from 1 species
UAUUGACUUUUAUUAACAGGUCAUAACAGUGAGAGUUGUCAAUGCUCUUACACUCUUGAUGGUACUGAUUGCAGUGAUACUUUGCUUUGUACAAGGACAUAAAAAUGGUUCUUAUUAUCUGUUAGUCUGUAACCUUAUAAUAAGCAUGGUUGUCAGUACCUUCGUUAAUUGGUGGUACAGAAGUGGAGACCUGG